AGGACGAACGCUGGCGGCGUGCUUAACACAUGCAAGUCGAACGAGGCCCUGCCUUCGGGCAGGUGACCUAGUGGCGAACGGGUGAGUAACACGUGGGCAACCUACCCUCAGCUCUGGGAUAACCCCGGGAAACCGGAGCUAAUACCGGAUAUGACCAGGAACGACAUCGUUCCUGGUGGAAAGUUUUUCGGCUGAGGAUGGGCCCGCGGCCUAUCAGCUUGUUGGUGGGGUAAUGGCCCACCAAGGCGACGACGGGUAGCC
rnacentral:rRNA from 1 species